rnacentral:lncRNA from 1 species
GUUUGGUCUGGGCGUGCGAUCGAGAGAAGGAACCAAGGGAACCAAAACCCUAAACAACCUAAAAUCAUCAAAUUGAAAGGGGAAUCGAGGGCUGAUCGAAUGCAUGAGUCUAGAUACCCUUUAAUCUAAGUGUAUUGAUCAUAAGUGGUAUGGUGGAACGUGUCAAGGAGAGCUCAAGCAUAGGAGGAUAACGGGUCAAGAUAAGGCAAGGUGACAAAUACACUUAUUGGAAUACUCAAGGUUAUGAAUGUCGGACUUUCGAAGUGUUGAUAUAAUAAUGAAACGGUUGAAUGUUGAAAGGAUAAUCGGAUUGAAGUAACUUAUGCGGUUAGAAUAUGCUAUGGACGUUUUAGUUUAUACAAUAUUAUAUGUUUGGUCGUCACCAUCUACUAACAGGUUAGUUGUAUGAGAGUAUAUGUCAUACCCAUUUAAUUGGGUAAUCGAAUGCGUAAGAAAAAUGAAAGUACGCACACGAAUGGAACUAAAAUGACGGUUUUAUAAGCAAACAAGUAUAAUGACUAACUUUUUAAAGCUUUGUUGUUGAAUGUAGGUAAAUCCU